rnacentral:lncRNA from 1 species
CAGAACCUAUACCAAAUGACUGUAACUGCCUGAGACUCAGUUCCAGGGAUCAGAUGCCAACUCUGGACUCUGGGAACCUGCAUUCAUGCAUAUGUGCAUAAGCACAUGCUGACAAUACAUAAGCAACUGGGUGUGGUGGCACAUGCCUGUCAUCCUGGCCCUGAGGAGGAUCAGGUAGAUCAAGACCAGCUAUGGCAACAUAAUAUUUUCAAGUCAGCGAACAUUCACUGAGCAUCUACUGUAUACAAGAUGAACAUCUGCAACAAACCCUCCAACAAGACAGCCCCUGAGAAGAAUGUGUGGACAGCGCCCUCACAGGACAGUGGACCUUCCCCAGAACUGCAGGGCCAGCGGUCCCGACGGAAUGGAUGGAGCUGGCCCCCCCACCCACUCCAG